rnacentral:rRNA from 1 species
CACGGGUGCGUAACACGUAACUAACCUACCCAGAACUGGGGGAUAGCCCGCCGAAAGGCGGAUUAAUACCGCAUAACACGAGGUGGCGGCAUCGUCUCUUCGUUAAAGAUUUAUUGGUAGUGGAUGGGGUUGCGGGUCAUUAGCUAGUUGGCGAGGUAAAGGCUCACCAAGGCGACGAUGACUAGGGGAGCUGAGAGGCUGGUCCCCCACACGGGCACUGAGAUACGGGCCCGACUCCUACGGGAGGCAGCAGUAGGGAAUAUUGGGCAAUGGGCGAGAGCCUGACCCAGCCAUGCCGCGUGCAGGAAGAAGGCUUUCUGAGUCGUAAACUGCUUUUGAUAGGGAAGAAUAAGCUGUACGUGUACAGUGAUGACGGUACCUACAGAAUAAGCACCGGCUAACUCCGUGCCAGCAGCCGCGGUAAU